rnacentral:rRNA from 1 species
UACGUAGGGUCCAAGCGUUGUCCGGAAUUAUUGGGCGUAAAGAGCUUGUAGGCGGUCUGUCGCGUCUGCUGUGAAAAUCCGGGGCUCAACCCCGGACGUGCAGUGGGUACGGGCAGACUAGAGUGUGGUAGGGGAGACUGGAAUUCCUGGUGUAGCGGUGAAAUGCGCAGAUAUCAGGAGGAACACCGAUGGCGAAGGCAGGUCUCUGGGCCACUACUGACGCUGAGAAGCGAAAGCAUGGGGAGCGAACAGG